UACAUAUGUAAAUAGAAAUAAAUUUAAUUGUGUAAUGGUUUUUUGGAGGUGUUUGGAAAAUUUUUAUAACUUUUAGUCCUUGAGAAUUGUUGUGAAGACUACAAACUCCACACAAUUUAUGGAAAAAUAAUUUAUUUUAAGAAAUAGAGAAAAAUCACAUUGUAUUUGAUCAGAGGGGUUGUGAUGAAGAGAGGUAGUUUGUCAAAAUCCAAUUCAGACAUCCCUAUGGAAAAUUAAGACAGUUGGGAUUAGAUAGUAUCCACUUAUCCAAUUUCUGCCUCACUGCCUCACUUUUUUAUUUGAAUUAAUCUGGGUAAUGAACACCCAAACCAAAUUAUUGUGGGUUGAUUACCCAUGAAAAGUGGGUUAAUUGUUUAAUAUCCAUGGGUGCAAGUGGGUAUAGGUAUUUUAAUAUACAUAAACUUCUAAUUGGCAUAUUUAAUAGUAGCAU
rnacentral:lncRNA from 1 species